CCUACGGGAGGCAGCAGUGAGGAAUAUUGGUCAAUGGGCGCGAGCCCGAACCAGCCAAGUCGCGUGAAGGAUGACUGCCCUACGGGUUGUAAACCUCUUUUAUAAAGGAAUAAAGUGAGGCACGUGUGCCUCUUUGUAUGUACUUUAUGAAUACGGAUCGGCUAACUCCGUGCCAGCAGCCGCGGGAAUAAGGAGGAUCCGAGCGUUAUCCGGAGUUAUUGGGUUUAAAGGGUGCGUAGAUGGGUUGUUAAGUCAGUUGUGAAAGUUGGCGGCUCAACCGUAAAAUUGCAAUUGAUACUGGCAGUCUUGAGUACAGUAGAGGUAGGCGGAAUUCGUGGUGUAGCGGUGAAAUGCUUAGAUAUCACGAAGAACUCCGAUUGCGAAGGCAGCUUACUAAACUGCCACUGACAUUGAUGCUCGAAAGUGUGGGUAUCAAACAGGAUUAGAUACCCGAGUAGUC
rnacentral:rRNA from 1 species